rnacentral:rRNA from 1 species
UACGAAGGGAGCUAGCGUUGUUCGGAAUCACUGGGCGUAAAGCGCACGUAGGCGGACGUGUCAGUCAGGGGUGAAAUCCCGGAGCUCAACUUCGGAACUGCCUUUGAUACAGCACGUCUUGAGUCCGGAAGAGGUGGGUGGAAUUCCUAGUGUAGAGGUGAAAUUCGUAGAUAUUAGGAAGAACACCGGUGGCGAAGGCGGCUCACUGGCCCGCAACUGACGCUGAGGCGCGAAAGCGUGGGGAGCAAACAGG